AUUGAACGCUGGCGGCAGGCCUAACACAUGCAAGUCGAACGAGUGGCGGACGGGUGAGUAAUGCCUGGGAAACUGCCUCAUGGAGGGGGAUAACUACUGGAAACGGUAGCUAAUACCGCAUACCAUAUGAUGAGCCCAGAUGGGAUUAGCUUGUUGGUGGGGUAACGGCUCACGAAGGCGACGAUCCCUAGCUGGUCUGAGAGGAUGACCAGCCACACUGGAACUGAGACACGGUCCAAACUCGUACGGGAGGCAGCAGUGGGGAAUAUUGCACAAGGGGCGCAGGCCUGAUGCAGCCAUGCCGCGUGUAGGAAGAAGGCCUUCGGGUUGUAAAGUACUUUCAGCGGGGAGGCGUUACCCGCAGAAGAAGCACCGGCUAACUCCGUGCCAGCAGCCGCGGUAAUUC
rnacentral:rRNA from 1 species